rnacentral:rRNA from 1 species
GAUCCUGGCUCAGGAUGAACGCUGGCGGCGUGCCUAACACAUGCAAGUCGAACGGAGCUGCUUUGAUGAAGUUUUCGGUAUGGAUUUAAAACAGCUUAGUGGCGGACGGGUGAGUAACGCGUGGGUAACCUGCCUCACACUGGGGGAUAACAGUUAGAAAUAGCUGCUAAUACCGCAUAAGCGCACAGUUCCGCAUGGAACAGUGUGAAAAACUCCGGUGGUGUGAGAUGGACCCGCGU